rnacentral:rRNA from 1 species
ACUACGGGAGGCAGCAGUGGGGAAUAUUGCACAAUGGGGGAAACCCUGAUGCAGCGACGCCGCGUGAGCGAUGAAGUAUUUCGGUAUGUAAAGCUCUAUCAGCAGGGAAGAAAAUGACGGUACCUGACUAAGAAGCCCCGGCUAACUACGUGCCAGCAGCCGCGGUAAUACGUAGGGGGCAAGCGUUAUCCGGAUUUACUGGGUGGAAAGGGAGCGUAGACGGUCCUGCAAGCCAGAUGUGAAAGCCCGGGGCUCAACCCCGGGACUGCAUUUGGAACUGUAAGGCUAGAGUGUCGGAGAGGCAGGCGGAAUUCCUAGUGUAGCGGUGAAAUGCGUAGAUAUUAGGAGGAACACCAGUGGCGAAGGCGGCCUGCUGGACGAUGACUGACGUUGAGGCUCGAAAGCGUGGGGAGCAAACAGGAUUAGAUACCCUAGUAGUC